rnacentral:rRNA from 1 species
CCUANGGGGGGCUGCAGUGAGGAAUAUUGCACAAUGGAGGAAACUCUGAUGCAGCAACGCCGCGUGGAGGAUGACGCAUUUCGGUGUGUAAACUCCUUUUAUUAGGGAAGAUAAUGACGGUACCUAAUGAAUAAGCACCGGCUAACUCCGUGCCAGCAGCCGCGGUAAUACGGAGGGUGCAAGCGUUACUCGGAAUCACUGGGCGUAAAGGGUGCGUAGGCUGGCUUUUAAGUCAGAUGUGAAAUCCAAUGGCUCAACCAUUGAACUGCAUUUGAAACUGAGAGCCUAGAGUUCAGAAGGGGCAGAUGGAAUUAGUGGUGUAGGGGUAAAAUCCGUAGAUAUCACUAGGAAUAUCAAAAGCGAAGGCGAUCUGCUGGGAUGAUACUGACGCUGAGGCACGAAAGCGUGGGGAGCAAACAGGAUUAGAUACCCCGNUANUC